UGCUUAUCUAUGAUGUUUCUCAAUAAAUGUCUGAACUUAUGACAUCCAAUGAUUCCACCUUGUAACUGAGAUAAGCG